GAAAGGUGAGAUACCAGAACAGUGUGCUGCCAUUAGUACCAUACAGAGUCCGUGACGUGAGACACGGCAGGCCUGAGCAGCUGUGGGUGGGCUGAGUGGCCUUGGCUGGACAAGAGGCGCUUCAGGAACCCAUCACAUGAACUGUGGAAUAUAUAAGUCAUCAAAAUUAAACAAAGGCCAGUGUGGCAGCUCACUCCUGUAAUUCCCAACACUCAGGAAGCAAAGGACCGAGAACUGCUAGCUCAAGGCCACAAAUAGUGAGACUCUGCCUCAAAACAAGAAGAAAGAGAUGGACCCUCCGGUUCCCUCUCCCAUCAGCUGGAGUCACUGGUCUUGGUAGUUGUAAAUCAGGAAGAUUACGCCACAGCUGUCCUCGAUGAGAUGUAGUCUGUCUGGUAGAGAGCGUGGGGGCCAGAUUCAAAUGGACCUGAACUCCCUUUGUAAGAUGGGAUAAUCUGAGAAUUAAAGACAUGAACGUGAAGAAACAACCACACCUUAAACUUGGUUUAACCAAAUAAUGCAUAGCCAGCGGCCAUGUCCCAUGUCAACAAAGGUGUGUGUGUGUGGGGGGGGGGGGGACUCUCUUUUCUCCCUCCCUUUCCCUUUCUCCCUCCCCAUUUUAUCUUUCUUUGGGAUUUAUUUUAGAAAACUUGACAUCGCGUACCCCUCCCCAUAUUAUAGUCAGGGUCUCUUGUAUUCCAGGCUGGCCUUGAGCUCACUCUGUGGCUUAGGUGGCCUUGAACUCCUGAUCCUCCUCCUAAAGGUCUGAGAUGUGGCUGCGUGCCGCCAUGCCCAGCUCCGUUUUUAUUUUAAUCGUGUGUAUCUGAGUGCAGGUUUGCUGCAGUACGAGAGAGGUCUGAGGACAACCUCCGGGAGUUGGUUCUCUCCUUCCACUGUAAGGACGGAAUUCAAGUUGUCAGGUUUACAUGGAAAGUGUUUCUAACCACUGGACCAUCUGCCCACCCUGAUCUUGGCCUUUGAGACAUUGUCUCAAACACAGCUCAGGGUGGCCUCCGCUCAGACUCCUGAUCUUCCUGCCUCUGAACCUGAGGGAUAACUGGCUCAAGCAGCCACGCCUAGCAGCAGAGGCCUUCUCUUCUUGAGAUGUUUGCAGGGAGUCAGGGCUCUUAACCACUGAGCCAUCUCUCCAGCCUGACAGCAUCCUUUUUCCGAGGAUCAGGGUAUAACUUCAGAGGCCAUGAGACUUCAGGUGGCAGAUAUACCUCUUGUCUGAAAGAGUGAUGGAUUUCUGAUACUUGUUUCCUAUGCUGGGGAUUGAGCCAUGACUGUUGCUCAUCAUAUGUAGCUGCUUUACCAAUAAGCUAUAGUCCCAAACUCUUUUUACUCUUUUUUGUUUGUUUGUUUUGACAAGGUUUUGUGCAGUCCAGGCAUCAAACUCCAUCUGUAGCUGAAGAUGCCCCAGGUGUGCACCGCUAAGCUCAGGUUAUACAGUGCCUUACCAGGUCUGGCAUGCCUUUCUAUUAACACUUGCUAUGUAGUCCAGCCUGGUUUCUAAUUAUCUUACUCUACCCUUCCAAGUGCUAGGAUUAUAUAUAAGCAGGAGCCUCCAUAUGAGCCCAAGUUAUGAUCAAUAUAUUUCUCUGAAAUUUCCAAGAAAAAGAAAAAAGCCAUACCUUGUUAAAGACUCCAAGACCAACAGACUGAACUUAGUGUUUAUGGAGAGUUAAAAUAAUGCAGAUUAGAGUCAAAUUAUCUUGAGCUAUUCUUAGUCCUUUUUAAAUCUUUCUCUUUUUGUGUUUGUAUGUAGUUCUUGUGUUCAUAUUUGCAUGUGCGUGGGUUACAUGGUGUGUGUCGGUACUGAUGUAUGCAUGGACUCUCUUGCUAAACUGUAGCUUCUUAGUCUAGCUAGCCAUCUUGGGUGCUAGAUUCGGUGUCUACCUCUAGUGAGCUCAGAUUACACGUGGGCUGUCACACUCACCCAUCAGCCCGGUUUUCAGUCCCUCUGAAGAUUGUUCGUUGCACACCCAUGUAUCUGAUCAAAUAUCCUUGCUUAUCAGAAUAUUUACAGUAUACCUCAUAACAGACCACUGACUUUUUACCAAUCCAUAGGCUAGGAAUGUUAUCAUCUGAGGCCUAUAGCCAAGCUCCCCAGUUGUCCUGGUCGCGGCUGACUUACUUGGUAUUUGCCACUUGUGAUUUUCUUUGUUCUGUAACUGACGCAGGUUCACGUGUAAGUAACUGCAUCCAGAGUGGGACGUGCCUUUCAGGGAAACCUCAAUCCUUGUUCCUGGAUCAAGAUCGCGCAUACUCGGCUCAAAAAUAAACUGGGUCUUACGACCUCCCCUCCGCCCCCCAGGCGAGACUGUUUCCGUGACUACAGGAUAAAGGCAAUUAGCUCCGUUGGAGCAGCGCUCCAGUUGCUGAUAACUUUAGGACGAAGUCUGCCUUUGUCCCCAAGCGUUUUGGGGGCAGCACCACAUAUUGUUCACGUAAAAAGCGUUCGCAGAACUGGCUACUUCUGCUUCUUAGCGGUGAGGGAGCCUUUGUAGUCUCCCUAGUGGGUUGCCUGUGAUGCGCCGCGAUAGCAUUGGGCUUUCAAGCUUAUUCGAUACCCAGACAGUUUAUUUUGAAUCGACAGUUCUAGUGUCCAUCACUUUUGCGUGUGGUUGGACAGGAUAGAGGCAGGAUUUGAACAGCUUCAAAGAACCCAGAGCUGCCGUUUGUGGCUGCGCACUCGCGCUCGUCCCUGCGGCAGCGCGGCGCUGGGUACCACUCGCCUCCCACCUCCCUAUUUUUAGCCGCCGCAGUCCCGGCCACGUGACGGAGGAGGCGGUAGAGCGGGCGCCCCGCCCCCACGGCGCCGCGCAGCAUCCCGCAGAGCGCGGAGCCCGCGCCCUGGGCCUGCGGCUGCGGCGAUGAAGAUCUGGAGCUCGGAGCACGUGUUCGGCCAUCCCUGGGACACGGUGAUCAAGGCGGCCAUGCGGAAGUACCCUAACCCGAUGAACCCCUGCGUCGUGGGCGUGGAUGUGCUGGAGCGCAGCGUGGAUGGCUGUGGGCGCCUGCACAGUCUGCGCCUGCUCAGUACCGAAUGGGGGCUGCCUGGCCUCGUGCGAGCGAUUUUGGGAGCCAACAGGACCUUGACGUACAUCAAAGAGCGCUCCGUCGUGGAUCCGGCUGCCAGGAAAAUGGAGCUGUGCUCCACCAAUAUCACGCUCACGAAUCUGGUGUCAGUGAAUGAGAGGUUGGUGUACACACCUCAUCCAGAGAACCCUGAAAAGACUGUGCUCACUCAAGAAGCCAUCAUCACUGUGAAGGGAAUUAGCUUGGGGAGCUACCUGGAAAGUCUGAUGGCCACCACGAUAUCCUCCAAUGCUAAGAAGGGGUGGGCUGCCAUUGAGUGGAUAAUUGAACAUUCCGAGAGCGCCAUAAGCUAACAGGUCUGCCACCCAUGCCUGGUGACACAAGGGGCAGUCACAGUAACUUCUUAACCCGAUGUCUCACCAAAAAGAGUCAAAGAAGAAAGGAAAGGAAGUGUGGACGAAUAAAGAAGACGAGAGGCAAGUGUGGCUGGGGCUCCCGCCAAGUCUGGAAGAGGUGUCUGCUGGAAUCUUUCCUCCCAGUGCAGCAUCAGGCCCAGGCGCCAGCUCUGUGAGGCUGUUUGUGUGAGGCCGUUUCUUGGGAGUGGUGUGGAGCCCUGGUCUGCUGGGCUCUGCUGUAGGUGCUGUGGGCACUGUGCUGGGCAGUACUGGGCUGCACUGCCCCUGUGUUGGUUUUAAGCUUUUAUUUGCUUCUGGAAGGAGUGUUACUUCUGUGUGCUGGCUCUAGUCACUCCACCAAAAGAGAGCUCCCCUUUCCUCAUGCCCUGCCAGCUAAGCUGGGGUAGGUCCCCCAAACCUUUCCCGGGGGGCCUGGCUGCUGUCCUCUGUUCCUGGUAGUCCCAUGUCCUUAUAGUGUCCCACUUGCCUCUGAAGGAGAAUAGAAGUUGCUCUCUGGCCCUCAGGGUCCCCAUCAUGCCCUGCAUCCAGAGACAGUUUGGGAGCUCUCUGCACAGGCCACUAUGGAUUCCAGCAGCAACUGGGAUGUCCAUACUCAAGACCGGCCUUGAACUCUGUGUGUGACUGAAGAUGCCCUUGAACUCUUCCUUCUGCUUCCCCAUUCCCAAGUCCUGAGAAUACAGACUUGGACUGCUAUACUUGACUCUUUUUGGUUGUUAUUCUUGAGACAGAUUUUGCUAUGUAGCCUUGGCUGUUCUGAAACUCAUGGCAACUCUCCUGCCUCAGCAUCUCAAGCGUUGGAAUCACAGGUGUGGACCACCAUACCCGUUAUGGGAUGCUUGUCAAGUCCCAACUGUCCUUUCAACAGGAUCUCUUGACAAGCCUGGGUGUCCCUUGAAGACGGUGGGAACCUCUUGCUAUCUACAAAGAGCUGUCCAGCGAAUUCCCUCUCUCCAUAUCCUGGGGUUUUGAGGUCUGGCUGGGGUGUGAGUGGUGGUUUUGUGCUCUUGAACUAGAUUGAACCCCUUCCCCACACGUACACUGCCUUCCUGCCUCAGAGUUUCUGCUCCUCAUUUUCUUUGUAGUCUUUAGUCUGUCGGUGUUUCAGUCAGGGACAUGAGCAUGCGGUGCUGCCAUCUUUUGUUUAGAGACAAAGUCUCGUGUAACUCAGGUUGACCUUCAACUCACUGUACAUGAGGCUGUCCUCCAUCUUCUUCCACCUCUUACGAAUUACAAGUGAGCACUGUCAUGCCUGGCUUUCUACCAUCUUUAAAUCAAGGUUGUUUAACACACACACACACACACACACACACACACACACACACACACACACACACACACACACACACACACGGGAUUCAUGUUUGUACUUUUAAAAAGGAAUUAAAUCUGUUGAAUAGUAGAGACCUCUGCUCUUCCUCUGUUGGUCCACUCACUAUUUCUAGAACUUUCCUAUGCCUAUGAAAGUUGAUGUCUUUUGCUUUCAUUAAACCCGGUUCACACUGUAA